UCUGAUUCUUUGUUUCGAAACCCUGAAAAUAGCGUUUAAGAUGUUUGGUUCCCAAUUCCUAUGUAGAACUACCAAUUCGACCCUAAAACCGGCUAAGGGUCAGGUCAGCUUAGAACCAGUCUCAUGGAUCUUAUUAAAAAGAAUAGUAACAUGCAACUCAGGAGAAUGGAAACCAUGACUUCCAGUUUGAAGUAGAAGAACAAGGUUACUCAAGUUAAAAGAUUUUACCAAUCAUGUUCAACAACCAAGUAUAACAAGUCCUAUUCCCGAUUCAAAACCAGGACUUACAGGGUAGAUUCUAUGUUCCAGUCUUACAAUUGACACAUUCUGAAGCCGAUUACUCUCAAACAAGAAUCUCAUUACAACCAGCACUAUCGUGCAGCCAUAAAGUGUCCAUCAUAAUUUGCAAAUCAUCGGAUCUCAAUCGCAACUGAAUUCAGGGAUGACGAGCAGGACGAGAACCAACCUUCUUCGUUCGAGAGCCGCGACGAGUUCACGUUGAUGUAUCGACACGACGAGCGAAAUCUCAGGAGCGUAAGCGCAGCGAGUCGAAAAGGAACAGAAACCUAACGAGAAAUGAAGAGCAAAAUGCGACGAUGCUUGCGAAGGAGGAGAAGCUGUUUGACUAGAGAGAGGCGGGUGGUGCGCCU
rnacentral:lncRNA from 1 species